rnacentral:lncRNA from 1 species
ACCUACAGAUCAUAGUAAGCUUAUAAGAAAUCAAUAAGCAACUCAUUAAAAUUUUUUUGUCAAUGUUAACCACAUAAUCAUAAUUUCACUGCAAGCUGUCUUCCUGAGAAACAGUCACUAAAUCAUUUAUAACUGGUGCUACAAAACUCCAAAUCAAGUGCCGUUAAUUUUCCCUGAAAAUAGACUCAUAUAUCUUAUAUCCAUAAAAUUUUCAGAUUUUUUGGUUUGGCCAAUUAAUACCAGAUAUUUCUCAAAGUUUCGCAUGUUUCACUGUUUGACUAAUCUGACCACUCUUCAUUACGAAUCAAAUUUCUCAUUGUACAGAAUUCAAAAUAUGUUCUCGUUUAUUUCAUUUGAAACUAGAUGCAACAAGCUUUAAUUACAUAAUUUAUUCAGCUUCUAAUUCAUCUCCCACAAUUUAUGGUGAUUUUCCAAAGUCACAUUACUGCUGCUGUCCCAAGCAGAUUUAUUACUAAAUUCACUCUUUCACACAUAACUUGCAUGCAUGUUAUUUAAACAUGUAUAUCACCAAUCAAUCAUCACAUAUCUAUGAUUUUACUUAAGUAUAAUCUCCAUUUCAUCAUUUUAAAGCACAACAUGUUAGCCGAUAUUUCCCCUUAGCAUCUAAGGCACAUACAUGCUCAUUUGUUUGGCUCAACUUCACCUAUCUUCCAUUUUUCAUCAAAAGAACAUGAAACAACAACCAUUUCCUUCGUUUUAAUUCAUGACUAAAUGCUCACAACACAACUAAAAACCAAAAUAUGCUUCAAGAGUUAAGGUAGAAUCAAGAAGAACUCAUGAACCUCAAAAUAAAAACAAACUACCAUGAACUUACCUUCAAUUUUUCUUCCCCAAGUGACCGAACAUUCAAGAGCUUUCUCCUCUCCUUUCUCGUCUCUAACUUUAGGCUAUGAUGAACAAAGAUGGACAAAACUUUGUUCUUUUCACCCCUUUUUCUUUUAAUAAAAUUUCAUAUUUCAUCCAUUUAAUUCUUUAAUACAAAAGACAUGAAAUUCCCAUCAUGGAACAUUUACCUAACCCAUUAUCAAUUUGUACCAUGAAUUAUGGAUAUCAAUUGCUCAUAUUGUCUACAACAACAUGAUGGCUGGCCACUUCAUGUAAAAUGGGAGGUUUGUCAUGCAAAUCCUCCUAUUUUGUACUCCUAUUUAUUUGGCCACUUCAAUUUAGCCUAUAGCAUUUUCAAACAUUUUCACAUAGAUCAUAUUUCAUAAUUUCACUCACAAAUGACAAAAUUAAAGCAUGAAAUUUUGCCAACAUUCACAGAAUUCCCGAAAAUUGGGACGUUACAACUCUACCCCCUUAAAGAAAUUUCAGCCUCGAAAUUUACCUGAUCCAAAUAGUUGAGGGUAUUGUUGACACAUAGUCUUUUCUGAUUCCCAAGUAGCUUCUUCCCUUCCAUGAUUAUGCCACAGUACUUUUACCAACAGAACCGACUUCCUUCUUAGAACUUUAACCUCUCGAUCUAAAAUUUGUAUGGGUUUUUCCUCAAAGGUCAAAUCAAUCCUUACUUCAAUCUCCUCCACUGGCACAACAUGUGAGGGAUCCGAUUGAUAUCGUCUUAACAUAGACACAUGAAAGACGUUAUGGAUUCUGUCUAACUCUGGUGGUAACUCUAACUGAUACGCUACUGGCCCUAGCCGCCUAAAAACCCGAUAAGGCCCUAUAAACCGCGGACUCAAUUUACCUUUCUUGCCGAAUCUCAAGAUCUUCUUCCAAGGUGAAACCUUUAAGAAAACCAUAUCCCAAACCGCGAACUCUAUCUCUUUGCGCUUUAGGUCCGCAUACGACUUCUGUCUAUCAGAUGCCUCUUUUAAUCGAUCUCUUAUCAACUUAACCUUACUUUCAGUAUCUGCCACCAACUCCGGUCCAAGCACUUGUCGUUCACCUAACUCUGUCCAACACGUAGGCGUACGACAUCUCCGCCCAUAAAGUGCCUCAUAUGGAGCCAUCUGAAUACUUGCUUGGUAGCUGUUAUUGUAUGCAAAUUCUGCCAACGGCAAGUAAUCCUCCCAACUACCUCAAAAAUCAAUCACGCAUCCCCCCAACAUGUCCUCCAGAAUCUGAAUAACCCUUUCCGAUUGACCAUCAGUCUGGGGAUAGAAAACCGUACUAAAAUUCAAUCGCGUCCCUAAUGCCUCAAGCAACUUUUGCCAAAACCGAAAUGUAAAUAUGAGAUCCCGAUCAGAAAUAAUUGAAACUGGGACUCCAUGAAGUCGCACAAUCUCCGCCACAUACAACUUGGCUAACUUUUGAAGUGAAAAGUCAGUACAAACAGGUAUAAAAUGGGCCGAUUUGGUCAACCUAUCCACAAUCACCCACACCAAGUCUUUCUUCGAUGGUGUCAAGGGCAGCUCACUCACAAAGUCCAUGGUUACCCUCUCCCACUUCCAAAGUGGUAUCUUCAUUGGCUGCAACAGUCCAGAAGGUAAUCGUUGCUCAGCUUUCACUUGCUGGCAUGUCAGACAUUUCCCUACAAACUCCGUUACUUCUCGUUUAAGUCCAGGCCACCAGUACAAUUCUCGUAAGUCAUGAUACAACUUGUUCCCUCCAGGAUGCAUGGCACAAAGUCCUCCAUGAGCUUCCUUCAAUAUUUUCUACCUCAAAUCAAAGUCCUUCGGAACACAAAUUCUUCCUCGAAAACACAGAACUCUUUCGCCAUUUAACCCAAACUCAGAAGUUUCCCUUUCCUUAACUUGUUGGAAACGAGCGACCAAAGACUCAUCAUUCAACUACUUUUCCUUAAUCUGAUCCACCCAGGUUGGCCUCACUUGUAACUCAGCCAACAGACUUCCAUCAUCAUAUAGACUCAGACGAGCAAACAUUACUCUUAGAUCAGAUACAACUCUAUGACUUAGAGCAUCGGCUACCACAUUAGCCUUGCCUGGGUGAUACUCGAUCGAACAGUCAUAAUCCUUAAGUAACUGAAUCCAUCUUCUUUGCCUAAGGUUCAGCUCCUUUUGAGUCAACAAAUACUUAAGACUCUUAUGGUCAGUGUAUAUAAUACACCUUUCUCCGUACAAGUAAUGUCUCCAAAUCUUAAGUGCAAAUAUCACUGCUGCCAACUCUAAAUCAUGAGUUGGAUAGUUCCCCUAAUGAGGCUUAAGCUGUCGUGAUGCAUAUGCAACCACCUUACCCUCUUGCAUUAACACGCAGCCCAAACCCACGUGUGAUGCGUCACUAUACACACUAAAAUCCUGCCAAGACUCCGGCUGAAUCAACACAGGUGCUUUAGUCAAAACUUUCUUCAACUUCUCAAAAGCUUCCUGCUGCUUCUCAGUCCAUACAAACGGUAUUCCUUUCCUUAUGAGUUUUGUCAGAGGUGCUGCCAUCACAGAAAAACCUUCUACAAACCUUCUGUAGUAUCCUGCCAACCCUAGGAAACUUCGAAUUUCUGACACCGUCCUAGGUGGCUUCCACUUCAAAAUUGCUUCAAUCUUUCGAAGGUCCACAUUAAUCCCUUCGGCAGAGACCACAUGUCCUAAGAAGGUUACCUCCCUCAACCAAAAUUCACACUUGCUGAACUUCGCGAAGAGUUUCUUCUCUCUUAACACUCGCAGCACUAUACGGAGAUGCUCAUCAUGUUUCGUUUCAGUUUCAGAAUAUACCAGGAUAUCGUCAAUAAAGACGACUACGAACUGAUCUAAAAAUGGUUGAAACACACGAUUCAUCAGAUCCAUAAAUGCUGCAGGAGCGUUCGUCAGUCUAAAUGGCAUAACCAGAAACUCGUAAUGACCAUACCGAGUCCUGAAUGUUGUCUUAUGGAUAUUUGCCUCCUUAACCCUUAACUGAUGAUAUCUAGAUCAAAGGUAGAUCUUGGAAAAUACAGAAGCUCCUCUAAGCUGGUCGAACAGAUCAUCAAUCCUUGGCAGUGGAUACUUAUUCUUAAUCGUCAAUUUGUUCAAUUAGCAAUAAUCAAUGCACAUCCGCAUCAUACCAUCCUUCUUUUUCACGAAUAGCACCGGUGCUCCCCAUGGAGACACGCUUGGCCUAAUGAAGCCCUUAUCCAACAACUCUUGAAUUUGUGCCUUUAGCUCCACCAACUCCUUCGGUGCCAUUCUAUACGGUGCGAUAGACACUGGUAUCGUUCCAGGCAAUAAGUCGAUUCCAAACUCCACUUCUCGGUUCGGAGGCAAUCCUGGAAGCUCCUCCGGAAAAACAUCUUGGAACUCCUUUAUAGUCCUAACCUUAUCCACUGUCAAUCCCUCCUUUUCCGACUGACUUACAAAUGCCAAAUAGGCCUCACAACCUUUCUGAAUCCACUUCUCGCUCUUAAUGCUGACACCACAUUGGACAAAUAAUCCCUCCGCUCACCUAUCACCAUAACCUCCUCAUCCUUUGUGGUCCUUAACACCAUUCGUUUAGCAGCACAAUUCGGGGUCGCUUUAUGCUUAACAAGCCAGUCCAUUCCCAAAAUGAGAUCAAACUCUCCGAACGGUAACUCCAUCAGAUCUCCAGGGAAAAUCCUACCUUGAGUUUCUAAGGGUACAUCCCUAUACAGUUUGUCUACCCUAACCGAGUGACCCAAAGGACUUAGUACAGAUACCCCACUCACAAUCUCCUCAGAGCAGUCCAAGUUGUCCGUAAUCCGUUCUGUGGCCUCCAAUCAAUAUCCUGCCGCAUUCGAGGUGAUACCAGACACACCCCUAAAGAUCUCCGCUCCGUUGGCCCGAAGUCGUUCAGAAAUAGAUCCCCAAACUCUAUUGCCCACACUUGCCCCGGUAACCCUUUCCAGAACACGAAGCAUUGCCUAUGACAGGGCAUCAUCCCCGACACCGUGGUCAUGAAACACUACCUCUGUUGUCAGUGGUACCGGUGCAUCCACCGCCGGCAUAUAUCUCGAAGACGAAGAUCUCGCUCGAACACUUCCUCGGCUCCGUCCACGGCCUCUUGUACUCAUAUCGUAUUAUCUUGAUUACGAAUUUUUAUGCAUCAAUUAAUAGUUCAGAGUUUAUUUUCGCAGAAUCGAAGUCUAGCUACAAUUUUAGUAUCUUAUCAAAUUUUCCUAUGGUUUCAGUAUCAUCCUAUCUAGAGUAUUCUAGCAGAAUUUCAGUACAGACAGAUAAGUCAGAAAAAUAUUCAGAAGAGUUUAGAGUAAUAAUUACAGGCAUGGGCCGGAGAUUCGAAAUACCACAUUCUAAAGAUCUAAAUUUUGAAAAUCGCGUUUUUCGCAAUCUUUAUAAUUUUUUUUUGAAAAUCUUUGGUUUUUGUAAAUCCAUUCUACAGCCGAGUUGUUGCAACCUAGGCUUUAAUACCACUAAAUGUAGCACCCCAAACUCGGCCCAAACAUUAUGACCGGAUCCGACAUGCCACAUCGAAGCGUUCAAAACAUUUUAUAUUGUUGAUCCAGAAAAACUUACUUAGUGUUUUAAAAAAUAAUUUCAUUAUAGGUUAAAGUGAAUGGAAGCUGUGCACCAGAUAGGAAACCGAAAAAGAAGUGAGUCCAUCGGACUGCUUAAGUACCAAGCUCCCUUCGGAUCCAAUCCUAGAAAUGCAUACCGACAUUGCCACACCUUAAUGUCAUGAAUAUUUCUAGGAAACCGAUUUUGAUUAAGUCAUUUUUAGAAAAAGUUAAUAAUUUUGGAAAAUACUUUCAUUGCGGAAGCUUUGCUUGUUGUCGUAUUAUUUUAAAAUCAAUUGUAUUUUUUGAAAACGCUCCCUAAAGCUAUCCAAUUUCAACAGUUAAAAUAAGUAAUACCUAUCUUAGUAAUACAUAUUAAAACUAUCAAAAAUAAUUAAGCGACCUUAUUACAUUUAAAAAACCCAAAACUUCAAACGUAAAUAAAAGGAUGUCCAGUUCACCAGAAGAAAACCAAACUUUCAGAACGGGUGGCCACUUCGAAUUCCCUCACAGCUUCAAGCCCACUAUAGUUAAGGAUUUCCUGCGUGGAUGAAAAUAAAAGGGGUGAGUUUAAGAAAACUCAGUGUGUAAAGAAAACCUAUUCAAAGCCCAAGUCAGCUCAAGCCUAUUGGGCCUAAGCCCAUUUAGGUAACAGUGGUACUGGACCAGAGCCCUUUUCAGAUUACAAUAAACUGGGCCUUAGCCCCUUAUUCAGAUAACAGUAUGGCCCAUAGGCCCAUUUCAAAAUACAUGUAACAUCAAUAACAUAUGCAAGCCCAUUUGGGGAGACUACUCAACCCACCAACCACUACACUCCACCCGUACCAGCCAUACACUCCAUGUGGGGAAUAGCUCAACCCACCUAACCCAACACUCCACAGUUGCAGCCUUGCUGCUCAGUUAGCAGUAAAUUGAGGCAAAGCCUCCAGUACGUGGACAAGCCACUUUCAGUACUUCCUCCGUCAAUAUCUCAAUCCCAUGCAUCAGAUAAUAACAUGGCAUGCAGUAAAUAACAACAGCCAAACAUGCAUUUAGGUCAAUUUAACCCUAGGGGUAUUUCGGUAAUUUAUCUACUAGGGGUAAAACUGUAAAUUUUCCAUUUUUAAAGGUAUUUUAGUAAUUUAUCUAUUUUAGAGUUUUUCAUGCAUAUUCCUACUUUUCACGUACUAACAGAAUCACGUACCGAGUGUUCUUACCGAAUUGGGCCUGUUGGCCCAUCAUUUCAAUUUUGGCCCAUUAAGCCCAGAAAUAUCGAGGGCACAGAAAUAAUACAUUUCACAGUCCAAAUUUUGUAGCUUACCAAAAACAUUAAUCGAUUUACCUCACGAGCAUUUGCAUACUCGUAAAUUUACAAAAUACUAGUUUUCAGCAUUUUGAUUUGUCAACUUUUGUCGAUCCAGACUAAGAAAGAGGGUGUUAGUUACAUACUUGUUUGCGACGAUAUGCUGAUGAGAUCUACACACGAACCGCCUACAAUUGGAUUACUAACACGUUAAUCUAACUAUUCAAAUACAAACUACGUAUUAACCCCUUACAAUAUUCGGCCAACCACACCUACAGAUCAUAGUAAGCUUAUAAGAAAUCAAUAAGCAACUCAUUAACAAAUUUUUGUCAAUGUUAACCACAUAAUCAUAAUUUCACUGCAAGCUGUCUUCUUGAGAAAUAGUCACUAAAUCAUUUAUAACUGGUGCUACAAAACUCCAAAUCAAGUGCCGUUAAUUUUCCCUGAAAAUACUCAUAUAUCUUAUAUCCAUAAAAUUUUCAGAAUUUUUGGUUUGAUCAAUCAAUACCAGAUAUUUCUCAAAGUUUCGCAUGUUUCACUGUUUGACUAAUCUGACCACUCUUCAUUACGAAUCAAAUUUUUCAUUGUACAGAAUUCAAAAUAUGUUCUCGUUUAUUUCAUUUGAAACUAGAUGCAAUAAGCUUUAAUUACAUAAUUUAUUCAGCUUCUAAUUCAUCUCCCACAAUUUAUGGUGAUUUUCCAAAGUCACGUUACUGCUACUGUCCCAAGCAGAUUUAUUACCAAAUUCACUCUUUCACACAUAACAUGUAUAUCACCAAUCAAUCAUCACAUAUCUAUGAUUUUACUUAAGUAUAAUCUCAAUUUCAUCAUUUUAAAGCACAUGUUAGCCGAUAUUUCCCCUUAGCAUCUAAGGCACAUACAUGCUCAUUUGUUUGGCUCAACUUCACCUAUCUUUCAUUUUUUAUCAAAAGAACAUGAAACAACAACCAUUUCCUUCGUUUUAAUUCAUGACUAAAUGCUCACAAUACAACUAAAAACUAAA